CACAGUGGAGGGAACAGCCCCGGACACCAAGCAGCAUCAGGCUUUCACCAUCUCCUUGUCCACUGUGAGGAGUUUUCUCUGACAUUGCUUCCUCUACACUAAACACACAGCUGCACUGAGGCUGGAGAAACAAGCUACCGAAAGAGGCCUUCUCAUGCACCCACUUCUUCUGCCAAGGCACAGUAAGGGAGCCUCCAUCUUCUCCUGUCAGGACGCUGUUGGUAAGGUGACCUCCAAACUGUGCCAUCUGCCCUUCCCCACAGUUGGUGGCAUGUGAUGAAAGAUGCGGUAACAUCUCGUGAUGAGUGUUCAUCCCUGAAAGGGGAAGGGCCAGGGGAGGCUGGGAACUGCGGCUGCAAGUUCAGAGCUGUCCUGGGGCCUUCUGGCAAGGAUGCCAGGUGUGCCUGGGACACUGGGAGCCUCUCACUCCUUAUCCUGAGCCCUCCAGGGCCAAGGUUGCAAGUCCACUCAAAUGUGCUGACAUGAGUCUAUCUUGUGAGCUGAGGGAGCUCCUCCUGUUGCUCUGUCAGGACAGGAGCACUUGUGAGGCCUGUGCUGGAAACCACAUCUGAAAACAGACCGUGUCAACAGAAUAUCAAACCAGACACUGGUUACCUCUAAAACCACAUGUGAAGCCUGAUUUUAAGCUGAAUCUGCCAGAAGUGCAUGGCCAAAUGGCUCAUGUGACCGCAUUUCCUGUUGUCCCUGGGACCAGAGUGCUGCGUUGCCAUGAAGCAGAGCAUUCAUCUGUUGAGGACAGAGCAGCCUCGGGCACCUCCAGAUGCUCCCAUCGCUGUGAGACCUGCCCAGGCAGGCGGCUGAUCCUCAGGGGUGUCCCAGCCUGCGCAGGGCACCUGGCUGGUUCAUGCAGGGAGAGAUGGGGAGGGAUGGUCAAAAACGAGAGAAGAAUUGGAGCGGUUCAGCAGCAUCUGCCCUCCCUGUCGACAGAUUUGGGGCACUGGGUGCGGUGGGCAUUUUUGCGUAUUGAUGAGCAGCAGAGGAAGAGGAAAGGAGGGCCUGAAUGGGGGCACAUAGGGUGAGAGAGGGAGGCUGCCAUGCUGCUCUAUCCCCGCCGCUUCGAGCAGCAUUUCUUUUCUGCACAUUUAAUAUGCAAUUAUUUAAUGGGGUGUAUUAGAGCAUAACGGCCAUAACUUAAGACCUUUCAGUCAAGAUUAAACAGGUGCCGAGGCUUUCUUUUCAAGGCUGGGAACAGCUGUGAGCCUCCCCUUCUCAUACGUGACUACAGUACACGCGGGGGCCUUCCCGUGCCCUCCCCCUCCAUGCUGUGUGCUCCCUCAAAGGCCCUUUUUUGUCUUCCCACAAGACACCGUCCAGGCAAUUCACAGGGAGCAGGCGAAAAGAAGCGUGAUUUAUUAGCUCUGGCGUGGAGGGCAAGGUUUUGACCUCAGGUGUGAAUCUGAGAAAAAUAUUAUUUUCCAGACAGCCAGCUCUCUCCGAGUGAAUUAAAACUGCUAUUGUGAGGAAAUGUAUUAAAGCCAUUUCAGCUUUUAUGACAAUAUCAGCAUGGCUACUUUACAGAGCGCCUAGGAUGUGGACUUGCCCCAAGGUGCUUUAUAAUCAUCUGUUUAAAGGGAGAGAAUUUGCCUGCAGAGAUGAAUCAAUGAGUGUAUUUUAUGAAACAUUAAUGACUGCUUUUGUAGAUGUAAAUUCCGGGGUAUGUUCUUGCAUCUCUCCGUGCUGUCCUACAGCUGCAGCUGAAGCCCAUUUGCCGUUAUGAGGAUCAUCAUCUAGCAGCACAGUUGAGCUGGAGGAGCUUUACAUCAUCUCCUAAUGUAAACAAUAUUGUAAGAGAGUCCGACAGCCCCACAGGAUUUUCAUUGGGCGAUGAUUGAUGUGGAAAGGGAUGGAGCUGCAGUGAUUCUGCAUCAGUCACAGCUCUCACUUGGCUCUCAAACUGACCCUGUUAGCACAGUCUGACUUGGAUCAUUUGUCUCAGAAGUACCAAGGGAUUUUAAAACAGCUGUGGAUUCAACCAUUUCAAAUGGGAACAUAUUUUUGGUUUGUGGCCUUGUGCUUCACCCCAAGCACCUGUGGCUGAUACGCAAGGAGAAAAGCUCUGAUGUGCCAAUUGGACUCUGAUUUUGUGGCAGGACAAGCCAGACUUUGGAAAACACUCCUCUGCCUUCCUCAAGGCCGAGCACAGCAGGGAGCUUGAGGCGCCUGGUGCCUGAAAUGGAGGAAGGCAGGCUCUGUGCUGCACGAUGGAUGUCACAGCAAGAGGGAGAGCCGAGUUAUUUCCGCAAUCCCUUCGCAUAAUGGAUGGGGAUGUCAAGUUGCCGUCAUCUGAAGUAUGAGCACCUUGGAACCAAACAAAAAAUGACUGGCGGUGUCAGCUUUCAGGAAUGUAUGAGCAGAGGUGGUGGGGAGCUGCACAUGCAGCUCAGGCUUUCUCCAGCGUCUUCCUUUCAGCACAAGGGAUGACCUUGGCCCCUCUCCUCUUCCUCCACAGACUGUCACGCACAGAUCUCCCAGUCUGAACCCUGUGCACACUCGCUGCAACGUGAGCAGCUCUCAGCAGGCGGUGCCUCAGGCAGGAGCCCAGCUCAGGGCGGAGUUGUGGCUCCAAUCUGCAGAUCUGCCAGAGGGCUUUGAACAGAUCUGAGCAUCUGCAAAUCCUGCCUGGCUUCUGAUCCGUCUCUUUGCUGUCAAUUGCUCGUGUGGGAUGUGAUACACAGAUCCACUGGGCAGCAUCCUCUGUACAGACACAAGUGAAGAUGGAGCAGAGCUUAGUGCUAAUCACAGAAUGACUGCAGUCACACCUCAAAGUCUCCUGGCCAGAGGAUGAAGCACUGACCAUAUCAUCAUCAUCGCCUCCAUCAUUUUGAGUAACCCUGAUGGUGAGCUAUUGACGGUAUGUUGAAGAGCUGUCUGCUCUCCAUCCAUCACAGUCCUCUCUCAAAGUGGGGACUCACGUGCAAAAAGUCUCAUUGCUCACAUCUUGGUCUUGGAUGGCCAGAAAUUCUCAUCUCCAAGGCUGUAGUGGUGCUGUAUGGUAUUAGUAGGAAAUUGCAACUCAUGUUUUCCCUGGAAAAAUGCUACUGACUGCAGUGAGUCAAGGUGCUGGAGAGCACUGCUCUCCAUUUGGAACAAUUCCAGUGCAGUCCCUGUCAGAGCUUUGACCCACAGAAGGCCAUGUGGAGCAGAAUGGGAGUUUUUCUGAGUUUCUGGAUUUGGUGCCUUGGGCUGCGUGGUGACCAAUGGCUUUGAAAUAGUACUACAUCAGAAGAGCUGUGACAAGAGUUGCUUGCCUCUGAAUAGACAUUCCCCAAAUGCUGCCCAAAUGUUUUUUUUAAGUACAGAACCCUCAAAGCCUGGGCACUGCUUCUCCCUGUCCCAGCUGAGCCACCAGGAUCACUGCUCAUUAAAUGUUCCAUGUAAAAUGAGUAUGGGAUCCUUGGAUCAGUCCCCACCCAUGGACUGUCAGGAUAUUUCAGUGUCUGGAGAAAGUUCCCAUCUGCAGCCCCAUGUCACCAGCAAUCCCAUAAUGUAAUGGAAGUUCAUUCCUAGGAAAGCAGGGCUGUUCUGGCAUUCAGAUCAGAUUCUGAUUUGAAUUCAGUUUAGUCCACCAAGGUAAUAACAAGGGCUAGGAUCACAAUCUGAUGGAAUAACUUAGUAAGCCAUGUGAGGUCACUAUUGCUUCUUGAAAAUAUGGCUUAAACAUAAUUUACCUGGCAGUAACUUGACCUGGAAGAGAGAGGUUUAUCUUCUUGGCAUGCUGUGUCUGAGUAGCUUGACAACCUCUACAUAGAUUUGAGAUCUUUCCUUCUACAGCUGGCUGUUAUUACUUAUAACCUCUUAAUGCAAAAAGUGCUCCUCCCAGAGAUCUCUCUCCUUUUCUUUCUUUCCUCUUAUUUAUUUAAAUACAUAAAUAUUUGCGAUUUAUUGCAUAGUGCCUGUUUUAUGAUCUCAGGCCCACACCCUUGCAGCCAUUGUAAUCUGAUCAUGACACUAAAAACCUUUGUUAUGUUUCAGACACGUUCACUUCUAACUGUUAUGCUAUGUUACAACAUACAAUUUUGGGGCAUUUAGGAUCCAUCGAUUAAAGGACCAAAGUUGAAAACUU